UUGCAGCUGGUCGGGGGAUGUAAGCUGCCUCAUGAGAUUCUCAUGGAUGAGUGUGUAGCUUGCACCAGUGUCCACAAUGGCUUUACCUGACCAGGCAUCGAUACAAAGGGGAACAACUAGUUGUUGAGCAACAGAGUUGUUGGACGGAUGACCACCUGACUUGGGGUGAUAAGGUUGUUUGCCGCUGGUGGAAUACUGUGGACCAGACGUCUGAGGUGACUGGGGAGAGGUAUAAUGUGGACAUUUUCCUGGUGGAUGCUGUCCUCUACAUCUCCAGCACUGAACUGGGAUUUUCUCAGUAGUUGAUGUCCUAAUUUUACCAGCUCUUCCACAGUAUUUACUCUGCUACGCAAUUGACUGGCAA